ACCCAGGCGCAUGGCUCCAUGAAGCAAGAGGAGGAGGCAGAGCGCGAGAGAUCCCGUCCGCCCCAGCCGCGUCUGGGCCAGGAGAAAAGCAAAACCAUAUUCCUGCUGCUGUCAGUUUUGAUGCACUGAGAAAACUUCAGAGACCUAAGCUUUUUCCAGAGAAGAGAAGCUUUACUGGUGUUCCAGCCCUAAGGCUCAUAUGACAUUAACAGACAAGACACUUUUCAGAAAGACAGACAGCUCUUCAAUCUUCAAGGGAACUGUGGAAGUAAACCAGGGGUGACAUGGAUUAUCAAAUAUUGUGGAUCAGAGUGGCUGUAUCAUUUUACUUUCCUACCAUCAGUAUUUGAGAAUUACAGUUGUUCUAAAUCAUCACCAACACAAAAGAUGAUGAGUAUUUUUAAUUGUAUUUAUUCUAGUAGGUGUGGAAUGGCAUCUCAUUUAAUUUGUAUUUCUCUAAUGGCUAAAGAUAUUGAACAUCUUUCGAUGUGAUUAUUUGCU
rnacentral:lncRNA from 1 species